GGUUAAGCUACUAAGAGCACACGGUGGAUGCCUAGGCGCUAGGAGCCGAUGAAGGACGUGGCGAACAACGAUAAGGCCUCGGGGAGCUGUAAGCAAGCUGUGAUCCGGGGAUGUCCGAAUGGGGAAACCUAACUGGAUUCAUCUCCAGUUACUCACACCUGAAUACAUAGGGUGUGCAGAGGCAGACGAGGGGAACUGAAACAUCUAAGUACCCUCAGGAACAGAAAACAAGAGUGAUUCCGUCAGUAGCGGCGAGCGAACGCGGAACAGCCCAAACCAAUGAGCUUGCUUGUUGGGGUUGUGGGACGUCUCUUUGGAGUUACAAAGGAAGAUGGUAGGCGAAGAGGUCUGGAAAGGCCCGCAAGACAAGGUGAAAGCCCUGUAGCUAAAAUCAUCUUCUCUCCGAGACGGAUCCCGAGUAGUGCGGGGCACGUGAAACCCCGUAUGAAUCUGCCAGGACCAUCUGGUAAGGCUAAAUACUCCCUAGCGACCGAUAGUGAAGCAGUACCGUGAGGGAAAGGUGAAAAGGACCCCGGAAGGGGAGUGAAAUAGAACCUGAAACCGUGUGCUUACAAAAAGUCAGAGCCCUAUUACUGGGUGAUGGCGUGCCUUUUGUAGAAUGAACCGGCGAGUUACGUUCCCGUGCAAGGUUAAGGUGAAAAGCCGGAGCCGCAGCGAAAGCGAGUCUGAAUAGGGCGACUGAGUACGUGGACGUAGACCCGAAACCAGGUGAUCUACCCCUGUCCAGGGUGAAGGUACGGUAACACGUACUGGAGGCCCGAACCCACGCACGUUGAAAAGUGCGGGGAUGAGGUGGGGGUAGCGGAGAAAUUCCAAUCGAACCUGGAGAUAGCUGGUUCUCCCCGAAAUAGCUUUAGGGCUAGCCUCGGAAGUUGAGUCGUGGAGGUAGAGCACUGAUUGGAUGCGGGGCCCGCAAGGGUUACCAAGUUCAGUCAAACUCCGAAUGCCACAGACUUUAUUCCGGGAGUCAGACAGUGAGUGCUAAGAUCCAUUGUCGAAAGGGAAACAGCCCAGACCAUCAGCUAAGGUCCCCAAGUGUGUGUUAAGUGGGAAAGGAUGUGAAGUUGCACAGACAACCAGGAUGUUGGCUUAGAAGCAGCCACCAUUGAAAGAGUGCGUAAUAGCUCACUGGUCGAGUGACUUUGCGCCGAAAAUGUAACGGGGCUAAACACACCACCGAAGCUAUGGCUUGAUACUUUGUAUCAGGGGUAGGGGAGCGUUGAAUGAAGAUUGAAGGUGUACCGCAAGGAGCGCUGGACCUCAUUCAAGUGAGAAUGCCGGUAUGAGUAACGAAAAGAUCAGUGAGAAUCUGAUCCGCCGAAAACCCAAGGAUUCCUGAGGAAGGCUCGUCCUCUCAGGGUAAGUCGGGACCUAAGGCGAGGCCGAAAGGCGUAGUCGACGGACAACAGGUUGAAAUUCCUGUACCACCGAAAGCCGUUAUGAGCAAUGGGAUGACGCAGGAGGAUAGUGACGCGGACUGAUGGAUGUCCGUUCAAGCAGUGAGGCUGGUAUGUAGGCAAAUCCGCAUACCCCAAGGCCAGGCUGUGAUGAGGAGCGAAAAUUACAGUAGCGAAGGUCAUGAUUUCACACUGCCAAGAAAAGUCUCUAGCCAGGAAGCAGGUGCCCGUACCGUAAACCGACACAGGUGGGUGAGAAGAGAAUUCUAAGGCGCGCGGAAGAACUCUCGUUAAGGAACUCGGCAAAAUGACCCCGUAACUUCGGGAGAAGGGGUGCCCCGGUAGUGUGAAUAGCACGAGGGGGCCGCAGUGAAAAGGCCCAAGCGACUGUUUAGCAAAAACACAGGUCUGUGCGAAGCCGCAAGGCGAAGUAUACGGGCUGACGCCUGCCCGGUGCUGGAAGGUUAAGGGGAGUGGUUAGCGCAAGCGAAGCUAUGAACCGAAGCCCCAGUAAACGGCGGCCGUAACUAUAACGGUCCUAAGGUAGCGAAAUUCCUUGUCAGGUAAAUUCUGACCCGCACGAAUGGCGUAACGAUUUGGGCGCUGUCUCAACGAGAGAUCCGGUGAAAUUUUAAUACCUGUGAAGAUGCAGGUUACCCGCGACAAGACGGAAAGACCCCAUGGAGCUUUACUGCAACUUGAUAUUGAACUGGGGUGCGAUUUGUACAGGAUAGGUGGGAGCCGUAGACAUCGGAGCGCAAGCUUCGGUUGAGGCGCCGUUGGGAUACCACCCUGAUCGCAUUUGAGUUCUAACCUCGUACCGUGAUCCGGUACAGGGACCGUGUCAGGUGGGCAGUUUGACUGGGGCGGUCGCCUCCUAAAGUGUAACGGAGGCGCCCUAAGGUUCCCUCAGAAUGGUUGGAAAUCAUUCGAAGAGUGUAAAGGCAUAAGGGAGCUUGACUGCGAGACAGACACGUCGAGCAGGGACGAAAGUCGGGCUUAGUGAUCCGGUGGUACCGCAUGGAAGGGCCAUCGCUCAACGGAUAAAAGCUACCCUGGGGAUAACAGGCUUAUCUCCCCCAAGAGUCCACAUCGACGGGGAGGUUUGGCACCUCGAUGUCGGCUCAUCGCAUCCUGGGGCUGAAGUAGGUCCCAAGGGUUGGGCUGUUCGCCCAUUAAAGCGGUACGCGAGCUGGGUUCAGAACGUCGUGAGACAGUUCGGUCCCUAUCUGUCGUGGGCGUAGGAAAUUUGAGAGGAGCUGUCCUUAGUACGAGAGGACCGGGAUGGACGCACCGCUGGUGUACCAGUUGUUCCGCCAGGAGCAUCGCUGGGUAGCUACGUGCGGAAGGGAUAAGCGCUGAAAGCAUCUAAGCGUGAAGCCCCCCUCAAGAUGAGAUUUCCCAGUAUGUAAGACCCCUUGUAGACGACGAGGUUGAUAGGUUGGGGGUGGAAGUGCCGCAAGGCAUGGAGCUGACCAAUACUAAUCGGUCGAGGGCUUAUCCAA
rnacentral:rRNA from 1 species